GAGCUCUCUUCUGCAGCACAUACGCUAACAUUGGAAAGAUACAGAGAAGAUUAGCGCUGCUCCUAUGCAAGGAGGACACAAACUGGUGAAGCGUUCCAUGUUAAA